AUACGGAGGAUGCGAGCGUUAUCCGGAUUUAUUGGGUUUAAAGGGUGCGCAGGCGGCGCGAAAAGUCAGCGGUCAAAGUUCCGGGCUCAACCCGGUGACGCCGUUGAAACUUUCGUGCUGGAGUUCGUGCGAGGGAGGCGGAAUGCGUUGUGUAGCGGUGAAAUGCAUAGAUAUGACGCAGAACCCCGAUUGCGAAGGCAGCUUUCCAGCACGCGACUGACGCUGAGGCACGAAAGCGUGGGGAGCGAACAGGAUUAGAUACCCUGGUAGUCCACGCGGUAAACGAUGAAUACUAGCCCUGCGGCGCGAUUGGGUGCUGCGGGGCAGAGUGAAAACGUUAAGUAUUCCACCUGGGGAGUACGCCGGCAACGGUGAAACUCAAAUGAAUUGACGGGG
rnacentral:rRNA from 1 species